rnacentral:rRNA from 1 species
UACGAAGGGGGCUAGCUUUGCUCGGAAUUACUGGGCGUAAAGGGCUCGUAGGCGGUUAUUUUAGUCAGAGGUGAAAGCCCAGGGCUCAACCUUGGAAUUGCCUUUGAUACUGGCUGUCUUGAGUACGGGAGAGGUGAGUGGAACUCCGAGUGUAGAGGUGAAAUUCGUAGAUAUUCGGAAGAACACCAGUGGCGAAGGCGACUCACUGGCCAGUUACUGACGCUGAGGCGCGAAAGCGUGGGGAGCAAACAGG